AAGACCUUAGUGCAUAGCAGGCUCGUGUGAGGUAGAUUUACACGCUGGCUUUAGAUGCAAGAAGUUUUGAUAUAGACAAAGCCUUAGUCUAGUGCCUUAUGUACCGGACCAUGCAGUCAUUAAAAGGCAGCCAGCCAGUCAGGCAGCGGCACAGACGGCUGCAGCGGCACAGGAGCCAGCAAACAGAGCUGUAAACAGGGGAGUGUGAAAGGGGCGUUUGUCUUGUGGUGCUCGUUUGGGUUUGUUUUGCUGUGGGGGGUGGUGUUUUGGUGUGGUUUGUGUUUCCCAGAUUAACAGGAUUUAGGUGGGAAGGCUAUGACCGAUACAGAGGCAGCAGUGGGAGUGACCCAUGUCGUGGAAGACACAAUGAAGAUGACUGGAUGUGGAAGCUGCGGUAUUUACGUGAUCCUGGAGGGGGCACCUGGUCAUUGAUGAAAAUGUUGAAUAGUGAUGGGCCUCGUCCUGAUCCCUGUGGAACUCCACUAGAAACACCCCGCUUUGAGGAUGAUCCUCCAUUGGCAACUACUUUUUGAGACAAUUUUCGGGGUUCUGUCUGUACCAGUUCUGACCUGUGGAUGAUUUUAUGAAAUUGUUUUAUGAAGUUACCUUGUCAUGGAAUGUUUAGAUGGAUGUGGAUCCCCCGUGAGUUAGCAGGACUGUGUCAUGUCUCUGCCAGACCAGAGACAAUGGUGAGUGAUCAGCACUCAACAAUGGUCUAUUCAAAAUAAAACACCUUAGGGCAAUGAGUUUGGUUUAGCUGGGAGAAGACACUUCCUCCUUUUGUCUGAAGGUUUGAGAGUAAUGGGAAGUGACCAGAAGCAGAACAAAAGAAGCAAGGGAUCCCAGCAGGAGUCUAUAAGGGAUUCACAGGGAGAGACAUGUUUUGCGCCAGAUUAAGAUGAGGGAGGCUCCUGCAGGGGUAGGGUAGACAAGGGGAUGGAGGACCCUCCCUGCCUACCUGCCUGAUGGAACACUGAUGAACUCCCAAGAACUCCAAAGGGACAGUAAUGAGCCUAUACCAGAGGUUUUCAAACUGUGGUCCAUGGACCACCAGUGGUCCACGAGCUCCAUUCAGGUGGUUCGCGGAUAGUUCCCUCUAAGGUGUGUGCCUGAGCGACCGCACAGAAGACAAUGAAGGGCCACCCACUAAUUAGGUCCCUGGACCCUGGAGAAGACGCACAUGUAAGGUAUGUGUGUUCUUCCUCGGGAAAUGUGCACGGUGCUAACCGUCAUCCUCCACCACUUCCACUGCAACUCUGCUCUCCUGCUCUCCUGAAUCCACCUUGUGGGUCCUCUCGUCAUUCUCUAUAAAUAUCUAUUCUCGUGGCAUCCAUUGUCACCCACUGCUUCUGCUGCAACUCUGCUCUCCUGCAGACGCCAUAUCACGGCAAGCAUGGAACCCGCUCAGAUCACCGCGGCAGUUAUGAGCAUUGUAAACACCUCGCGCAUGAUCCUGCAGUAUGUGCAGAACCAGAACCUGCAAAAGCCAGGCGAGGAGGUGAUGACAGCACGGUGAUGAGAAUGAUGAGGACAUGGACACAGACUUCUCUCAAAAUACGGGCCCCAGCAAUUUGGAAAUACUGGUGGCAAUGGGCAGGCUCAUGCCGUGGAACGCCGAUUCUGGGCCUGGGAAACAAGCACAGGCUGGUGGGACCACAUAGUGUUGCGGGUCUGGGAUGAUUCCCAGUGGCUGCAAAACUUUUGCAUGCGUAAGGGUACUUUCAUGGAACUUUGUGACUUGCUUUGCCCUGCCCUGAAGCGCAAGACUACCAAGAUGAGAGCAGCCGUCACAGUUGAGAAGCGAGUGGCGAUAGCCCUGUGGAAGCUUGCAACGCCAGACAACUACCGGUCAGUUGGUAAUCAAUUUGGAGUGGGCAAAUCUACUGUGGGGGCUGCUGUGAUCCAAGUAGCCAACGCAAUCACUGAGCUGCUGCUAUCAAGGGUAGUGACUCUGGGAAAUGUGUAGGUCAUAGUGGAUGGCUUUGCUGCAAUGGGAUUCCCUAACUGUGGAGUGAUAGACAGAACGCAUAUCCCUAUCAAGGACCACCUUGGCAGCCAGUACCUAAACCACAAGAGGUACUUUUCAAUGGUGCCGCAAGCACUGGUGGAUCACAAGGGACAUUUCACUGACAUCAACUUGGGAUGGCCGGGAAAGGUACAUGACGCUCGCAUCUUUAGGAACUCUGGUCUGUUUGGACAGCUGCAGGAAGGGACUUACUUCCCAGACCAGAAAAUGACUAUUGGGGAUGUUGAAAUGCCGAUAAUUAUCCUUGGGGACCCAGCCUACCCCUUAAUGCUGUUCAGCUAUAUGCUGAGCAAGUGCAGAAUGGUGGUAGAAUGUGCAUUUGGAUGUUUAAAAGCAUGCUGGUGCAGUUUACUGACUCGGUUAGACCUCAGCGAAACCAAUAUUCCCAUUGUUAUUGCUGCUUGCUGUGUGCUCCACAAUCUCUGUGAGAGUAAGGGGGAGACGUUUAUGGCGGGGUGGGAGGUUGAGGCAAAUCGCCUGGCCACUGAUUAUGCGCAGCCAGACACCAGGGUGAUUAGAAGAGCACAGCAGGGUGCGCUGCGCAUCAGAAAAGUUUUGAAAACCAGUUUCAUGACUGUCCAGGCUAUGGUGUGACAGUUCUGUUUGUUUCUCCUUGAUGAAAACCCGCCCCUUUGGUUCACUCUACUUCCCUGUAAGCCAACUGCCCUCCCCCCUUUGAUCACCGCUUGCAGAGGCAAUAAAGUCAUUGUUGUUUCAAAAUCAUGCAUUCUUUAUUAAUUCAUCACACAAAUAGGAGAAUAACUGCCAAGGUAGCCCGGGAGAGGUGGGAGGGGAGGGAAGCACCAGGUGGGGUGGUGGAUGAGGAGAGGAGGGAAAGACAAGGCCACACUGCACUUCAAAACUUAUUGAAUGCCAGCCUUCUGUUG